rnacentral:rRNA from 1 species
UGAGGAAUAUUGGUCAAUGGGCGGAAGCCUGAACCAGCCAUCCCGCGUGCAGGAAGACGGCCCUAUGGGUUGUAAACUGCUUUUCCAGGGGGAGAAACUUUCCGAUGAAUCGGGAUUUGACGGUACCCUGGGAAUAAGCAUCGGCUAACUCCGUGCCAGCAGCCGCGGUAAUACGGAGGAUGCGAGCGUUAUCCGGAUUUAUUGGGUUUAAAGGGUGCGUAGGCGGAUCGAUAAGUCAGUGGUGAAAACCUGCAGCUUAACUGUAGACUUGCCGUUGAUACUGUUGGUCUUGAGUAUGGUCAAGGUAGGCGGAAUGUGUAAUGUAGCGGUGAAAUGCUUAGAUAUUACACAGAACACCGAUUGCGAAGGCAGCUUACUGGACCAUCACUGACGCUGAUGCACGAAAGCGUGGGGAUCGAACAG